CUCUCUCUCUCGCAUGUGCAAAUCGAGCGCAGGGGCAUGGCGCCUGUGACGGUGCGGCGGAUCCAACGGCGAAGCAGGGCCUAGAACCCGGAUGGACGUGGGGCGCGGCACCUUAGGCGGCCGCGCUUCGAGCCGGAUCUCUCCGGCAGCAGCGCAGCGAUGUUCGGCCCCUCCAACGGCGGCGCGCUUGCAUAGGGUUCCUCCGGCAGCGGUGUGGGUCCUAGGGUUCCUCCGGCAGCAGCGCGGGGGUGCUCCUCUUCACCACCGACAUCCGCAGGUCUGGCGCCCUCUUCCGCCGCAACGCGCGCCAGCUCCGGCUGUGGCUCGAGGAGGACACGGCCUCCGCCGCGUCCAAUUGCUGCAAGCAAAAAACUGGAGCCUAAAGACAAGGUAGUACACAGUGAAAGGAAGGGAGAUCAACAACAGGUUGAUGAUAGCCGAACUAACAUUCACCAACCGAGGACUCACCGGGAGACCAUGGUACAAGCAUAUGAUAACAUUUUUUUGAAGCCCCCUGCACCCGUGAAGUUUAUUUCCGCCGGUGUGAAGCCACAAAACACUUAUAUUUCUAUAUUUUGCUUACGUGCAAAUGUUGUUGGGUAAACAAACAUUGGAAAAGGCAAUAGUGGCACCUAAACUUCGGAUUUCCUAAGCAAAUUAAUUCAGGGCAGUUGAAUGUAAGCAAAAGUUUACUUUCCAAGCUAUUUGACAAUAGGGAAGUGCAUAUGUCCAAGCUGAAACUAAGAUGAGUGGGCAUGGGCAUGAUUUUGUUUCUAAAUAUUUUUUCCCGUAGCAACGCACGGGCAUUCAACUAGUUUGUGAAUAUGUUGAUUGUUAUUCAGUAGUGUGAAUCUGUUCCUAGUGUGCAUAUAUGUCUCAUCAUUUAUGUUUC